UCUGGCGGCAGUAGCCCGGUGGUCCCACCUGACCCCAUGCCGAACUCAGAAGUGAAACGCCGUAGCGCCGAUGGUAGUGUGGGGUCUCCCCAUGCGAGAGUAGGGAACUGCCAGAC
rnacentral:rRNA from 1 species